rnacentral:lncRNA from 1 species
CUUGAGUCCAGCCAAGAAAAUGAACAGAAUCUCCCUGUUAAGAAGUGGAGUUACUCACCUGAUUGAAGAGAGAUGACACGAGUUGCAGUUAAAGAAUGGAUAAUUAAAUCACUUGGGAAGCGCAGGGGAGUGCUGGUGGAUAGGAAAGAUGGGGUUACUGAGCCAACUCCUGCCUCCAUCCCGUCUAGAUUGCCAAUCGUUUCUCCUUCCAUGACCUGCUGG